CUUGACCAUCUCUCUCGCUCGAUACACCCGUUGGCAGGCGUAGGAGACAUAACAGAGACUGAAAGAGAUCUCCGAACCAUCUUCUUCGAUGGCGAACCUCCCUUCUCUGCGCCGCGUCGCUCUCAAAACCCUAGCUUUACGCCCCGGAAACUCGUUCGCCCUCCUCCGAAGGUCUCUCUCCGACGCCGCUUACGACCCUCCGUUCUCUCCCAAACCCCUUGACAGGACCCCGCAACCCCAGAAGAGCAAAGCCCGGAAGAAACCCCCCAAAUCAAGCCCGGGCGACCCGAAACGCCCAGCCGAGCCGGACCUUCCCUUCGAUUUCAGAUACUCGUACUCGGAGACGAAUGCCGCCGUCGCGCCCAUUGGGUUCCGCGAGCCACCGCGGUUCUCUCCGUUCGGGCCUGGCCGGAUCGAUAGGACUUGGACUGGGACUUCCGCGCCGGCCCGGGAAGCGGUGGACCCGGAUAAGGCGGCGGGGGAGAGGGAUCGGGUUCUAGGAGCUCCGCUUUCGGAGGAGGAAAUCGCGGAGCUCGUGGAGCGAUACCGGCAUAGCGAUUGCAAUCGCCAGAUUAAUCUGGGCAAAGGAGGAGUUACUCACAACAUGUUGGAUGAUAUCCACAAUCACUGGAAGAGAGCCGAAGCAGUUAGGAUAAAGUGCCUGGGAGUGCCGACACUUGACAUGGACAAUGUUUGCUUUCACCUUGAGGACAAAUCUGGUGGGAAGGUAAUUUACCGCAAUGUCAACAUCCUCCUCUUGUAUCGAGGUCGACAUUAUGAUCCGAAGCAUAGACCAGUUAUACCUCUCAUGCUGUGGAAGCCCUAUGCGCCAAUUUACCCGAAGCUUGUGAAGAAUGUUGUGGAGGGGUUGACAUUUGAAGAAACAAAAGAAAUGAGAAACAGAGGACUGAACUCUCCUGCUGUAGGGAAACUUACGAGGAAUGGCGUGUAUGUCAAUGUGGUGGAGAAAGUGAGGGAAGCAUUCAAGACUGAAGAGGUUGUGAGGUUAGACUGCAAACAUGUGGGUACAAGUGACUGCAAGCUGAUUGGCGUGAAACUUAGAGAUUUGGUACCUUGCGUUCCAAUAUUAUUUAAGGACGAGCAGAUCAUCCUCUGGAGGGGGAAGAAAGAUACCGAAUCAACCUCCAAUUCACAUGCAUGACCAUAAAUUAGACAUACCACGAGACCCGCCAGGAAAAUCGGUUGGGAUGCUAUACACAUUACGCUGGAGCAUUUUCAGAGCGCGGACUCUAGAUAUUGUGGGGGUACGGUAAAUCGAUACGCCGUUGCUUGGGUGAAGACAAGUCUGCAAGAAGGCCCCGGGCCUCAAAGAAACGUGACUGCCUGUCUUUUGGUAUGCUCGCUCCCAGUUUGAGUUUAGAGGAUGGGAAUGCUAGAGUUUUAACUGGCAACUCCUCCAUGACAAUGUACUUCAGUCCAUUUUUCUUAUGGACCUUUUGUUUCUCGAAGUGGUUGGGACUUACUUACAUCCCAAGUUUUGCCGAUUUGUAAAUUGAUCAAACGAAUUAGUAUAUUGAUUCUGAUGAAAUGG